AUUGAACGCUGGCGGCAGGCUUAACACAUGCAAGUCGAGCGGUAACAGAGAGAAGCUUGCUUCUCUGCUGACGAGCGGCGGACGGGUGAGUAAUGCCUAGGAAUCUGCCUAGUAGUGGGGGAUAACUUGCCGAAAGGUAAGCUAAUACCGCAUACGUCCUACGGGAGAAAGGAUGGGACCUUCGGGCCUUUCGCUAUUAGAUGAGCCUAGGUCGGAUUAGUUAGUUGGUGAGGUAAUGGCUCACCAAGACCGCGAUCCGUAACUGGUCUGAGAGGAUGAUCAGUCACACUGGAACUGGAACACGGUCCAGACUCCUACGGGAGGCAGCAGUGGGGAAUAUUGGACAAUGGGGGGAACCCUGAUCCAGCCAUGCCGCGUGUGUGAAGAAGGUCUUAGGAUUGUAAAGCACUUUAAGUUGGGAGGAAGAGCAGUUAACUAAUAUUUGACUGUUUUGACGUUACCGACAGAAUAAGCACCGGCUAACUUCGUGCCAGCCGCCGCCGUAA
rnacentral:rRNA from 1 species